AAUUAUAAAAAUAUUACUUAAGUAGUAUUAGAUAUAUUCUUUAAACAAAAAAAAUUUGGCGGUAUUUUAAUCUAUUCAGAGGAACCUGUUCUGUAAUCGAUAGUCCUCGUUAAAUCUUACUUAAUUUAGUAUUUUUAAUCAGUAUGUAUAUCGUCGUUAUUAGAAUAUUUUAUAAGAAUAAUAAAUUUUCAAUAGUUUUUAUAUAAAUUAAUAUCAGAUCAAGGUGCAGCUUAUAUUUAAGUAGAAAUGGGUUACAAUAAAUUUAUUUAAUAAUAUUGGAUUUAAAAAUGUAACUUUUUAAUAAAAAUGGAUUUGAUAGUAAAUUUUAUUUUUAUAGUUUAAAAUUGAUGAUAGUUCU
rnacentral:rRNA from 1 species